CCUACGUGAGGCAGCAGUGGGGAAUAUUGGACAAUGGGGGGAACCCUGAUCCAGCCAUGCCGCGUGUGUGAAGAAGGCCCUCGGGUUGUAAAGCACUUUCAGUGAGGAAGAACGCCUGGUGGUUAAUACCCAUCAGGAAAGACAUCACUCACAGAAGAAGCACCGGCUAACUCCGUGCCAGCAGCCGCGGUAAUACGGAGGGUGCGAGCGUUAAUCGGAAUUACUGGGCGUAAAGCGCGCGUAGGUGGCUUGAUAAGCCGGUUGUGAAAGCCCCGGGCUCAACCUGGGAACGGCAUCCGGAACUGUCAAGCUAGAGUGCAGGAGAGGAAGGUAGAAUUCCCGGUGUAGCGGUGAAAUGCGUAGAGAUCGGGAGGAAUACCAGUGGCGAAGGCGGCCUUCUGGACUGACACUGACACUGAGGUGCGAAAGCGUGGGUAGCAAACAGGAUUAGAUACCCUAGUAGUC
rnacentral:rRNA from 1 species